rnacentral:rRNA from 1 species
GAUGAACGCUAGCGGCAGGCUUAAUACAUGCAAGUCGUGGGGCAGCAUGAGUGUAGCAAUACAUUUGAUGGCGACCGGCAAACGGGUGCGGAACACGUACACAACCUUCCUAUAAGUGGGGAAUAGCCCAGAGAAAUUUGGAUUAAUACCCCGUAACAUAACGAUGUGGCAUCACAUUGUUAUUAUAGCUUCGGCGCUUAUUGAUGGGUGUGCGGCUGAUUAGAUAGUUGGCGGGGUAACGGCCCACCAAGUCUACGAUCAGUAGCUGAUGUGAGGGCAUGAUCAGCCACACGGGCACUGAGACACGGGCCCGACUCCUACGGGAGGCAGCAGUAAGGAAUAUUGGUCAAUGGACGCAAGUCUGAACCAGCCAUGCCGCGUGAAGGAUUAAGGUCCUCUGGAUUGUAAACUUCUUUUAUCUGGGACGAAAAAAGGCUUUUCUAAGUCACUUGACGGUACCAGAUGAAUAAGCACCGGCUAACUCCGUGCCAGCAGCCGCGGUAACAC